rnacentral:snRNA from 1 species
GUCCCUUUCGAGACAUCCGUAAAGUUGGAACGAUACAAGGAAGAUUAGCAUGUCCCCUGCUCAAGAACGACACAGAAAAUCGAGAAUUGGUCAAAUUUUUU